rnacentral:rRNA from 1 species
GUACAGAGAGAGGCGAACCCGUGAGGGCAAGCGAAUCCCUUAAAGCCAGUCUCAGUUCGGAUCGUAGUCUGCAAUUCGACUACGUGAAGUCGGAGUCGCUAGUAAUCGCAGAUCAGCAACGCUGCGGUGAAUACGUUCCCGGGCCUUGUACACACCGCCCGUCAAGUCACGAAAGUCGGUAACACCCGAAGCCGGUGGCCUAACCGUAAGGAGGGGGCCGUCUAAGGUGGGACUGGUGAUUGGGACUAAGUCGUAACAAGGUAGCCG